rnacentral:lncRNA from 1 species
CUUAUUUAAAAUAUAAUAUACUGAUUGAAAUUGUUGUAGCUUGAAGAAGGGUGCACUGAAAAUCUUUUCCACUGUGCCCUGCAUUUGUAUGUACUAUAGCUAGAACAAUUUAGGUGGUCCUACGUUAUUUGUUUCUUACUUUUUGAACUACAAGGUUGGGUUCUCCAUUAGCAAUUGGAAUAACUAUCUCUCUCACCAAGUACAUUUUUUGAUGUAAUGUAAAUUACAAAUUAUAAUUUAAUAUUUCCAGAGAAAAGAAAAGAGUGUCAAUAAUGGAGCUCUAGCAAUAUCGAGAGUGGGGGCCUCCUGCUCUAUCAGCAAAUUAAUGUGAAAAACAUUUGCUUGCACAGAAGUAGAAGGGGGGACCAUGCAAUUUGCUAAAAGAUAGUUCACAUUCAAUGGUGAAAACAAUGUCAAUAAAUUGCAUUUGCUUUAUCAUCUUCUUUCCUCAGGACACCAUAUUUCUUGAUAAUAAAGGAGUCCGUAGUUCGUAAAACUGAUGAGAGGUGGAGACUUUGAGACUAGAGACUCUCUCUUCUGUGUUUUCAGUUUUGGGGUCCCAUUCCCUUCAAUAAUUUGAACCUCAUAUCAUGCAUGCAUGCAGUCAAAAAUAAAAAUAAAAAAUAAAAAAUUCAAAGCAAUGUAUAGUAUAAUAUUAUUGGCAAAAUUUGUCGAGUGACUUGUUUUUUGGACACGCAAGGCUCAAAUUAAAAUGGAGAGGAUCUUUUGUUUUUAUGCCUGCCUUAAUAUACCAGCUGUGAUGUACUUACUAUAUAUGGGGGGGCGUCUCUAUUCUGGUUUGAUGGGUUCAUAUUGAGAAAUCAUUUGCAGAAACUCACUAUAGCUUGGGUGAUGCUAUGAUGACAAAAUUAUUGGGGUAAAACAGCCCCCCACCAAGAGAGGAAUGUUAAACUUUGAAGUCAAGGAAUUAGUCGAUGCAGUAAAUUUUAGUUAUAUGCCAAGACAUGAUUGGAUUGCGUCAUAUAUGAGCCAUGAAGAGAAUAAGGAAAUCAAAGCAAAUAUUCAAAUUUAUUUUCUAAUUUAUAUGUGAUCCUAUCUUUAUUUAUAUUAAAGUUCAAUAUCAUGAAAAGAUCAAGAGUCCAAAUUAAAACAAAAAAAAAAAAAAAAAACUUAUAAAUGUAUGCUUGAAGUCGUAUAGAAGAAGACAUCCACUUACACGACAAAUAUAUUGAUAUUCACAGUAAGAAUAACCUUAUCAUCACUUUAAUUCAAAAGACUUAAAAAAAAAUAAAAGUUGAAAAAUACCUCAAGGGGUGUAGAGAGAAGAACAAUAUAAUGUGUGCUGUUGUUGGUAGCUUGAUAGAGUGGGCUUCAGGCCUAGUGGUGGGCAGUAGCAGCCACGCAGCGCAUGGAGCGACGCACACUCCGACCAAACACGAACAAACCUCCCCCUACUUUCCCACAGAUCCGAGAAACGCGUUGAUUAGUCGUGUGUUGUGUCCCUAAAACAUCAUCUUUCCACCCUCACACGCCCACCAUAGCGCGUGCACCCACUCUCUUAGAGCCGCUAAAAAUGGGAAAUAAAAUUUUUUGGAAUGAUGCUGCCUAAUUUUAAUAGCGCUUUGUCAGAUCUCUCUCUCUCUCUCUUUCUUUUUAACCAUGGCUGCUCUGCCUCUGCUGCUCUAAAGCGAAAAAAAGCCUAGGAUCCUAGGGCAACCAAAAUUUUGCCUAAUCAUUAUAGGGUUGCUAUUGAGAAACUCACCGUUAGUAGCAUAGCAAAUCAAAUUACUUGAUUUGGGCUUCUCAAAAAAAAAAAAAAAUUACUGGAUUUGGGAGAUUGGCAUCUUUCUAUUUUAAAAAAAAAAAGAUUAGCCCACAUGGCCGCAUGUACAUGCAUUGCUAGCUAGCUAUUCUGCUUCCCGCUUCUGUUGAUGGGGAAAUUAAAUAGUGUCAAGUCAUUUCCACCCCCACAAUUUUCUGACUCAUUCGGCCCCCACAGACAGAAACGAACACGGACAAUC